GGCUCUGAUGAGGUCUGUCAGUAGCAGUGGUAGGAGGAGGGCUCUGAUGAGGUCUGUCAUUAGCAGUGGUAGGAGGAGGGCUCUGAUGAGGUCUGUCAUUAGCAGUGGUAGGAGGAGGGCUCUGAUGAGGUCUGUCAGUAGCAGUGGUAGGAGGAGGGCUCUGAUGAGGUCUGUCAGUAGCAGUGGUAGGAGGAGGGCUCUGAUGAGGUCUGUCAGUAGCAGUGGUAGGAGGAGGGUUCUGAUGAGGUCUGUCAGUAGCAGUGG